rnacentral:hammerhead_ribozyme from 1 species
AUCCAGAUAACGAGUCCCAAGUAAGACGAAACGCGCGUCCUGGAU